rnacentral:tRNA from 1 species
GUGCCGAGGUCGUCGGGACGGGGCAGUUUGAUCUCAUAAUCCCUCGGUCGCGGGUUCGAGUCCCGCCCGCCCCACCA